rnacentral:rRNA from 1 species
UACGGAGGAUCCAAGCGUUAUCCGGAAUCAUUGGGUUUAAAGGGUCCGUAGGCGGUUUGGUAAGUCAGUGGUGAAAGCCCAUCGCUCAACGGUGGAACGGCCAUUGAUACUGCCAGACUUGAAUUAUUAGGAAGCAUCUAGAAUAUGUAGUGUAGCGGUGAAAUGCUUAGAGAUUACAUGGAAUACCAAUUGCGAAGGCAGGUUGCUACUAAUGGAUUGACGCUGAUGGACGAAAGCGUGGGUAGCGAACAGG